CAGAGGAGUGGAUCAGUACUUAUCUCUAGCAUAGGAAUGGACUUUGUGAGCCCAUCCCACAGCCCAUCCCUGAGCCUGGACACAAGGGGGUUGGCUUAAGCCCUAUCGCAAAGAAUAAGGACUUUGAAGACCUCUAUGGAAGGCCUCACCCUCCCUUGGGAGCAGAAAAGCCUGCUGAUUUAUCCAAGGUCACGGUGAGCCCACGCCUGAGAUGUGCUUUAUGCUCAGUGAAAAUGAGUAGAUCCUGCAGACAUCAAAUGAAACACAUUUGUACUGUGAAUUGAGAUUUGAUUUUCUGGCUGCCAGAGACAGCGCUACUGUGGAUUUGCAGCUGCAGAUGUCUAGAUCAUCUUUAUAAAGUCUCUGGAGUUAAAGGAAACAAUGACGGGAAAUACCAACUUGGCUUUAAAUGUCUUCAGAGAGAAGAAUAAAAUUAUGCACGUAUUUGCAUUCAGCAUGAGUGAAGGAAGAAUAAAUUAUCUGGACUUACAACUGUUCACAGUUAGUUUCAUUGGCAUUUUUUGUACAAUCGUCCUUAAUUUUGGAAAUGCAGCAAAGCAACAGUAAUCAUUUCGACUGUCUUUUUCUUCCACAUUUGCAAAAUACAGAUCUCCCUUUUGGCUCAUGUAUACUCUUUCAUCUUGUUCAAUGUGUUCUAAUUCUGCAAGGAAAAAAAUAAAUACAACCUUGUCACUGAAAUGG